rnacentral:rRNA from 1 species
UACAGAGACUGCAAGCGUUAUUCGGAUUCACUGGGUGUAAAGGGUGCGCAGGCGGCCAAGUGUGUUAGGCGUGAAAGCCUGGGGCUUAACCCCAGAAUUGCACCUAAAACUACAUGGCUAGAGCAUUGGAGAGGGUAGCGGAAUUCACGGUGUAGCAGUGAAAUGCGUAGAUAUCGUGAGGAACACCAGAGGCGAAGGCGGCUACCUGGACAAUUGCUGACGCUCAGGCACGAAAGCGUGGGGAGCAAAAGGG